rnacentral:rRNA from 1 species
AGAGUUUGAUCCUGGCUCAGGAUGAACGCUGGCGGCGUGCCUAAGGCAUGCAAGUCUUACGUGUUGCUCCGCUUCGGUGGAAGUCAACGCGUGGCGAACGGGAGAGUAACACAUUGGUAAUCUACCCCGAAGAUGAGUAUAACCUCGCGAAAGCGGGGAUAAUCCUCAAUAAAAAUGGGGGGUCACAUGACAUUCCCAUUUAAAGGUUUUGUUUGUUUUUGCAAGCAAGGCGCUUCGGGAGGAGCCUAUGGCCUAUCAGCUUGUUGGUGAGGUAACUGCUCACCAAGGCAACGACAGGUAGCGGGUGUGAGAGCACUGCCCGCCUCACUGGGACUGAGACACUGCCCAGACUCCUACGGGAGGCUGCAGUCAGGAAUCUUCCCCAAUGGCCGAAAGGUUGAGGGAGCGACGCCGCGUGCAUGAAGACGCCUUUCGAGGUGUAAAAUGCUUUUGUAAGGGAAGAAGUUUAGUCUUUGGCUAAAUUGACGGUACCUUACGAAUAAGGGGCUGCCAAUCUCGUGCCAGCAGCAGCGGUAAUACGAGAGCCCCAAGCGUUAUCCGGAUUUAUUGGGCGUAAAGGGUCCGUAGGCGGUUUAUCGCAUCUCCUGUUAAAUCUUUUAGCUCAACUAAAAGGCCGCAGGAGAGAUGGGUAAACUAGAGGCCGGGAGAGGCAGACGGAAUUGCCGGUGUAGGGGUUAAAUCCGUUAAUAUCGGCAGGAACACCAAAUGCGAAGGCAGUCUGCUAGAACGGUUCUGACGCUAAGGGACGAAAGCGUGGGGAGCAAAGAGGAUUAGAUACCCUCGUAGUCCACGCCGUAAACGAUGGAUGCUAAGUAUUGGGAGUUGUCGACCCUCUCAGUGCUGUUUACCUAAGUUAACACGUUAAGCAUCCCGCCUGGGGAGUACGAGCGCAAGCUUAAAACUCAAAGGAAUAGACGGGGACCCGCACAAGCGGUGGAGCACGUGGUUUAAUUCGAUAAUAAGCGAGGAACUCUACCAAGACUUGACAUUCGGCUGCAUGCCCUGGAAACAGGGAGGCCUUAGAGGGUGCCGAACAGAUGUUGCAUGGCUGUCGUCAGCUCGUGUCGUGAGAUGUACCGUUAAGUCGGGUAACGAGCGCAACCCCUGUCCCAUGUUUUAUAUGUCAUGGGAGACUGCCCGCGUUAAGUGGGAGGAAGGUGGGGAUGACGUCAAGUCAGCAUGAUUCUUACGUCUUGGGUGACACACGUGCUACAAUGGGAAGUACAAAGGGUCGCUAAGCCGCAAGGUGGAGCUAAUCCCUUAAAACUUCUCUCAGUUCGGAUUGGGGUCUGCAACUCGACCCCAUGAAGCUGGAAUCGCUAGUAAUCGUGAAUCAGCCAUGUCACGGUGAAUACGUUCUCGGGUCUUGUACUCACCGCCUGUCACGCCAGGGGAGUCGGCAGUGCCCGAAGGCUGUUCGCAAGAACGGACGAAGGUAAGGCCGGCGACCGGGGCGAAGUCAUAACAAGGCACCCGUAGCGGAAGCUGUGGGUG